GCAAUUUGUAAGUUUAUUCUAUAGCCAGAGUUUUAAUUAAGAACUAGAAAGUCCAUAGAAGAGAAUCCUUCUUUGUCUCCUCAGUGCAUAUCCAGAAGGAUCACUUAAUGCCAGUGGAGUCCCUGUGACAUCUGUAUUGAAAUAAGUGAUGUGUAGCCACCAACAUGUUAGCAGGCUCAUGAAAUUUCCAUGCUUUGUGACAUCAUGAAGAAGGAGUUUUGAAGGGGGUGAGGGUUGAUCUUGCUCUCUUCCACUGCUCAUGGGGUGAUCUGGGCAUUGAUCGGGGAGGUGACGAGCAAUUGCUUUUGCAUCAUUUGUUGUGUACAUAUAUAACUAUUAUCCUCCUUUUCUCUCUCUUUGUAAAUAGAUUCAUCUUGACCCACGAGUUUUACUUCUUCUUUCCCAGUUCUCUCCCCCAUUGCACUGGAAAAGGGGGAGUGAGCAAAUGACUGUAUGGUGCUCCGCCAUCUGCCAUGUUAAACCACAACAAAUGCAAAGGCUGUUUUAAUUGAGCUGAAACAGAAAACCAGAAAACUACUGGAGGAGAGGUGUUGUCAGGAUUGACAUUGCCUCUAACAUUUGGUUUGACAGCCUUGCUAGGAAUCUCAACUAUCUCCUCUAGGACAUCACUGUGACUUGGGUGGCCUACAAGGUCAUCCAGAUGUGCUAGCCUCUGGAUUUGCAGGAUAGUUGGUUGCUGUGACAGAGUGUUAUGCCAGAGGUUGAAAUCUCUUUCCAGAGAAGUUCUCUGGAAGAAAGUGACUUCUGUGCUUUCAUCUCUGUGAGGCACAGCUCCAGGGUGGAUGAAUGAGAGGGCUUGCACUGGCACACCAGCAAACAGAAAGCCUCGUUCCACAGUGUAGCUUUAUGUACGUUCUAGUGUUUAAAGACAAGUUUUUAUACUCAGAAGUCAUGCAGUCUCUGUAUUGCAGCUGGGCAAACUCAACCAUAACGUUUUCCAAAUGUCAUCAAAAAGGCAGAGCUGUGAUUAACAUGCCCAUUCAAUGCACCUUAAUAAAAUAUGAAGGGAUGAAUCUUACUCCUAUUGCUUUUUGA
rnacentral:lncRNA from 1 species